UGAGGAAUAUUGGGCAAUGCCCGAAAGGGUGACCCAGCAACGCCGCGUGGAGGAUGAAGGUCGUAAGAUUGUAAACUCCUGUUAGAGGGGAAGAAUAACUAAGUUUGGAGCUUAGUAUGACUGUACCCUCAGAGAAAGCCCCGGCUAACUACGUGCCAGCAGCCGCGGUAAUACGUAGGGGGCAAGCGUUGUCCGGAUUUACUGGGUGUAAAGGGCGCGUAGGCGGUGCGGUAAGUUAGGCGUGAAAGGCCCGGGCUCAACCCGGGAACUGCGCUUAAAACUGCCGCGCUCUGAGUCCGAGAGAGGAUAGCGGAAUUCCCAGUGUAGAGGUGAAAUUCGUAGAUAUUGGGAAGAACACCAGUGGCGAAGGCGGCUAUCUGGCUCGGUACUGACGCUGAGGCGCGAAAGCGUGGGGAGCAAACAGGAUUAGAAACCCGGGUAG
rnacentral:rRNA from 1 species